UGUAUGAUGUAUAUGUGAGUGGUUAUUUUUGUAUGAAAUUAUUCUUUUUGAUACCAAAAGAAAGAGGAAAAUACAAAAGAGAUAUUUUGAAAAUAUGUUUAAUAAAUUCUUAGCGAAGCUGUCCACGAACCAGACACCUUAUUUCCAGUCUCAUCAUUGCUCCUGUCUUACAGGAUACUAUUAUCUGCUGACCUAGUCCUAAACCGGGACCUGUUACAGAUUUUUGGGCGCUCAUCCGGGACCGGCGCCACCUGCUGGGGGAUGCCAAUCCAGUGACUCUAAUAUCUGGGACUGCGUUUGACCCUCGUGAGGGAUAAAGGAAGAGGUUGCCAUGUCGAGCAGUGAGAGGAAGAGCGUGGUGAGGGACAUCAGGAAGAGCCUGCAUACGCUGUCAAUGGAGGAACUCUUCAAGAUCGUCAAGACCGUCGGUCCGGUACCUGAUAAAGAUCAGUCAGGCUUGGCAAAAUAAACAUUGACGCCGACACCUUGUUGCGCUUGCCUCUUGACAUAAACAAAUAUGUGACUGAGGAGCUGUCACAGGAUACUGUCCACCCCACCUGGGAAGUGAGCCAAGCUGCUCAGAAGAAGGACGUCGCCUGUGUUGCAGUCUUGAACCUAGCUUCUCAGGAUGCUGACCAAGGAUCACAUGAACUUCUACCAACGAUAGGUCAUGAAGAGCUGACUGAAGCACAGAGAGAGGACCAGGCCAUUGGAGAAGUAAUCCGUUUGAAAAAAGACAACAGGAUGCUUGACAAUGACACGUGGAGAACAAUGAAUGGGCUUACAAGGAAAUUACUACAUGAGUGGAGUAAACUUCUCUUGGGAGAUGGAUUACUGUAUCGAAGGAUAAGUGAGAGAUGACAGCUUGUUCUCUAUGUUAAGAAUAAACAAACUGUACCGAAGCAUCUCCAUGAUGACAUGGGCCAUGUUGGCACAGAAUGAGUGCUCAACCUCGCGAGGGAACGAUUUUACUGGCUCUUUAUGAAAAGAGAGAUCGAGAAAUAUGUCACAAGAAGAUGUCUAUGUAUAAAACAAAAGAAACCAGUUACUCUCAUCCGAUCUCCAAUGGGAAGCAUCACAUCCUUCUUUAGACUAGUUGAGUAUCUGGAGCAUGAUGAUUGACUGUGGAGCCUGUGGAGCUUUCCAGUGAGGGUCCGCGAAGAAAACUGGUGGCGCAUUUUAUGAGGCGUGAGGGAAAUUCCCGUCUGACCAAAAGAGGAUGAGGACCUGCCCAGACCAGACCCUUACUGUGAGCUGCCCAGGAAGAGAUGCAUCAUCUGCAAACAAUUGAGGGAUAUGACUUCUGACUUUCAGACCUGAGCCCUAGGACCAUGCCUCAGGACUACCUGGCAUGAUGACUCCUUGCUGUCCCCAGUCCACCUGGCCGUGCUGCUGCUCCAGUUUCAACUGUUCUGCCUGCGGCUAUGGAACCCUGACCUGUUCACCGGACGUGCUUGUUGCACCCUCGACAACUACUAUGAUUAUUAUUAUUUGACCAUGCUGGUCAUUUAUGAACAUUUUAACAUCUUGACCAUGUUCUGUUAUAAUAUCCACCCGGCACAGCCAGAAGAGGACUGGCCACCCC
rnacentral:lncRNA from 1 species